rnacentral:ribozyme from 1 species
GGGAGCUUAGCUCCCGCCUUAAUGCGGCCAGAGACGGUUACAAGCCCGGCAAACGCAGAGUAAGGC